UUGAAUGCCUGUGUCAUGUCUUUCUCAGG
rnacentral:piRNA from 1 species